rnacentral:rRNA from 1 species
CCUACGGGAGGCAGCAGUGAGGAAUAUUGGUCAAUGGGCGCGAGCCUGAACCAGCCAAGUCGCGUGAGGGAAGACGGUCCUAUGGAUUGUAAACCUCUUUUGUCGGGGAGCAAAAGACGCCACGCGUGGCGUUCCGAGAGUACCCGAAGAAAAAGCAUCGGCUAACUCCGUGCCAGCAGCCGCGGUAAUACGGAGGAGGCGAGCGUUAUCCGGAUUUAUUGGGUUUAAAGGGUGCGCAGGCGGAAGAUCAAGUCAGCGGUAAAAUUGAGGGGCUCAACCUCGUCGAGCCGUUGAAACUGGUUUUCUGGAGUGAGUGAGAAGUAUGCGGAAUGCGUGGUGUAGCGGUGAAAUGCAUAGAUAUCACGCAGAACUCCGAUUGCGAAGGCAGCAUACCGGCGCUCAACUGACGCUCAGGCACGAAAGUGUGGGUAUCGAACAGGAUUAGAUACCCUAGUAGUC